rnacentral:siRNA from 1 species
GAGGGCACGUCUGCCUGGGUGUCACA